rnacentral:lncRNA from 1 species
AAUCAAACCACAGGGGCCCGAGAAACCACAUCAGGGCUUGAGAGGCAGCUCAGGGCCCUUGAGCAUAGCUUCCCUGGACUGAAUGUCUGUGUCCCCCAAAUUCAUAUGCUGAAAUCCUAACCCCUAAUGUGACGGUGUUUGGAGGUGGGGCUCUGGGAGAUGAUUAAGUCAAGAGGGCAGAGCCCUUGUGCAUGAGACUAGUGCUCUUACAAAAGAGCCCUGGAGGGGAGUGCAUUCUUGCCCCUUCCACCGAGUGAGGACACAUCACACAGACAGCCGUUUGUGAAGCAGGAAGAGGACCCUCAUCAGACGGACUUCCAGCCUCCACAACUGGCUGGAAUUCGGGAGCAGCUUGGCUGAGCGAUUCUGAUACAGGGUCUCUCACGAGCUUGGCGUCAAGAUACUGCAGGGGCUGCAGGCAUCUGCAGCUUACCUAAGGCUGGAGGAGCCACCUCCAAGAUGCUGGUGGGAGGCCUCAGUUUCUCUCCGUGUGGGCCUCUCCCAGGGCUGCUCAAGCAUCCUGGUGACGUGAUGGCUGGCUACUCCCAGAGGAAGAAGAUAGAAGCAACGAUGCCUUUUAUGACCUACCUUCAGAAGUCACACACCAUCACAUCUGCCAUAUUCUCUUAGACAGAAGUGAGUCCCUAAGCCAGUUCUGCCUCCCAAUCCAGGAGAGGGGAGGUACGGAGGAGGGUCAAAGAAUUUGUGGAUAUAUUUUGAAACCAAACAACAGGUGAUGAUAGAGCUGAAGAGCCAAACAAGGGAUAGUGAGACAACCUGUAGAUUAACAAUAGCAGGAAGACACUGACCCACUCAGGACUGGAGGAACAAGUGAGGAAGGAGGCUACCAGAGCCCAGGAGCCAGGACCACCCAGUGGAAACUGGAACUUUGGAGGAGCUGGAGGCUUGAAGAUGGAGUCACUGACAGAGAUGCUCCCCAGAGCAGAGAGGGAGACAAACAGUCGGCUUCUUCCUUCCUCUGCUCCCCAAGCUUCCGUCAUCGCCUGCAACAGCCGGACCCACCAGGAAGCAGAGCGCGAGGGAGCCUGGAAAAUGUAGUUUCUCGUGAUGCAGAGGUGAACAGAGAGGGCUGGGAUGGGUCUGAGAUCAAGUGGGUAAAGACUAGCAUGGAGCCCCGCAAAUGGCUGAUUUGAUUAGGUGUUGAUAUUGUGGUUAAAUUUGUCUUGAAUUCUGAUUAUUUUUAUAUAUCAAUAUUGUUCUCAAUAAAAUGACAUUUUAAAACUGAAAAUGAAAAAGAAAAGAAUAAUGAAAGAAAUUUCUCCAGUCUCCUUUAAUCUUCCUUAAUGUUAAAAGACUUCUGUGGGGCCAGAGUGAAGGGGCAUUAAUACCCAGACAGCAGAAAGCUGCUCCAGCCUUUCCAGGAAAUGGCCUUUUGCUAUUCUUUUUAAAACUGGCCAGCAUUUGAGGACUGACUGAUGUAACUGAUAGAAAACCCUCCUCGAUUUCGAACUGGGCUUCCUAGUCCCGGCCACGAGUGUCUGAUUCCAGGUAGAAAUGAUUUAUUUUGUCUACUCUAGAUCUACACCCAAAAGAAUCGAAAACACGUCCAUACAAAAACGUGGGUGUAAAAGCUCACAGCAGGGGGCUGGCCCCGUG